GUCUUAUUGAUAAAUAAUUUUAAGUCUUGCCUGCCCUCUGUUUUAUGAAUGGCCGCAGUAUUUUGACUGUGCUAAGGUAGCAUAAUCAUUAGUUUUUUAAUUGAAAGCUAGAAUGAAUGGUGGUAUGAAAAAAUAACUGUCUCUUUUAUAUAAUUAAAAUUUUAUUUUUAAGUAAAAAAGCUUAAAUAAAAUUAAAAGACGAGAAGACCCUAUAGAAUUUUAUAAAACUUUAUUUUUAAUUAAUUAGAAAUAAAAAUUUAUUAAAUUAAUUUUUAUUUGAUUGGGGUGAUUAGAAAAUUAAAUAAUCUUUUCUUUAUAAUACCAUUAAUAUAUGAUUAUAUGAUUCAUUUAUAAUGAUUAAAGAAUUAAUUACCUUAGGGAUAACAGCGUAAUUUUUUUUUUAAGUUCAAAUUAGAAAGAAAGAUUGCGACCUCGAUGUUGGAUUAAAUU
rnacentral:rRNA from 1 species